UGAAUAAAUCCUAUAUCUAUUUUGUCACGAUGCAAGGUGUCCUUUAGCUCUAUUUGUCGACUGACAUCUACCAGUGACCUCACGUUCAGGCGCAAAAAUUCUAUCUUGGCAUCUGACUUUGUCAUACUUGCAUAUUCA